UAUGCGGAACAGCGCAAGGAGUUGAGUUCCCUCCACAUCUAUCCGAAACAAAAUUCCCUCCUUCCUUCCUUUCCUUCCCUCGUUUUCUGCUCUUACGCGCCCCUUCUCCUAACUUCCUCUGUUCUCUCUCUAAACCUCAACACUUUCUCUCUCUAAAACCCUAAAACUUCCUUUUCUUCCAUUUUCCCGCCAAAUUCUCAUUCCCACUCUCCGAAAACUGCGAUCGCCUCUUUUCUCUUUUCCUCUUCGCCGCUCCAUGUCCGGCGGCGCUGGACCUCCGCCGCCCCGUACGAAGCCGGAUGAUUCCGGCGUCCCUAUCCGGCCGCCGCUAAAGCGCAACCUGGCAUUUGCGUUGAUGAAACCGCUGUUCGCUCAGCCGGACGAGUACCAUAGCUUCUCCUCCACCUCCGGUGCUCCUGACUCCGGCAGGAAACUCGCCGCCGAUCAACAGGCUGAAGUCGUUGUUGUUAGAUCUCCGCAAAUUAAGAGGAAGGGUGGAAUGACUAAUAUUGAAGGAGACUCGCAAAAGCUUAGUAAUGUUCCUGGAUCAGCAAACGCAGCAAGUAGUCCUUUCAAAACUCCAGUGUCGUCCAAAGGGGGAAGGACGCAUGCUAAGUCAAAGGUUUCCAAAGAAGGAAUGCAAUGCCCUCAGACACCCAUCUCCAAUUCUGGUUCCCCAUCUCCUCUUACUCCUGCUGGAAGCUGUCGCUAUGACAACUCCUUAGGUAUGUUGACAAAAAAGUUUGUCAAUUUGGUAAAGCAUUCAGAAGAUGGUAAUCUUGACCUAAAUCAAGCAGCAGAAACUUUGGAGGUGAAAAAGAGGAGGAUAUAUGACAUAACUAAUGUUUUGGAAGGCAUUGGUCUCAUUGAAAAGAAGCUCAAGAACAGAAUACAUUGGAAGGGAACAGAAUCUUCUUCCGGUGACGUGGAUGGUGAUAUCUCGAUGCUUAAGGAAGAAGUUGAGAAACUCUCCUUGGAAGAGCAUAGAUUAGAUGACCGAAUAAGGGAAAUGCAAGAAAGGCUUAGGAGUUUGAGUGAAGAUGAAAAUAAGCAGAAGUUCCUUUUUGUGACUGAAGAAGAUAUUAAGGCCGUACCUUGCUUCCAGAAUGAAACCCUGAUAGCAAUUAAAGCUCCACAUGGAACCACCCUAGAAGUCCCUGAUCCUGAGGAAGCUGUUGACUAUCUGCAGAGGAGAUAUAGGAUCAUUCUUAGAAGUACUAUGGGGCCCAUUGAUGUUUACCUUAUCAGUCAAUUCGAAGAGAGAUUUGAAGAGAUAAAUGGUCCUGAGCCCCCUGUGAGCCUCCCGCUUCCUUCGAGUUCAGGGUCCAAUGAACCACCGGUGGCAGAAGCAGUUCCUGCCGAGUGCAGUGCAAAAGGACUAGAACCUCAACCUCAGAUCCCCUCUCACACGUACUCUGAUCUAAACACAUCACAAGACUUUGGUGGGGGCAUGAUGAAGAUUGUCCCUUCAGAUGCUGAUAAUGAUGCAGAUUAUUGGCUUCUAUCAGAUGCUGACAUUAGCAUAACAGAUAUGUGGAGAACAGAUUCUAGUGUUGAUUGGAAUGGGGUAGACAUGCUUCAUCCUGACUUCGGAAAUAUCCCUACGCAUCAAACUCCAUCAUCUGGGAUUGCUGAAACUCCAUCCACUGUAACUAAUCCUAAUCAGAGGUGAUUAUAUUAGAGACAACGGUUAGCUUUUCAGCUAUUGCACAGAGAUAAUGUACUAAAAUAGAGUAGUUGCUAGCCUUGGGAAAUAUGAGGAUGCUCGUUAGUUGUUGAAUGUGAAGAUGCGAAUUGCUGAUAUACUUCAUCGAUGUCAUGACCAUCUGCUAUAACUUAUAACUAAACUAGUUACGGACGAUAUACUAUGCUCAUGGAGGAUUCAGCAAUGAAGUAGAGUGGUGACAGCUGGUAAUUAUUACAGCAAAUGUUGCUACUUUGCCAAAUGCAAACUUAGGUAGACUCCACAAUCAUAAUCUUGUUAUAUGAUUGACCAUGUUUAUCAAAGUCUGCGGCAUCUUGGGUCCAAUUUCUCAAUAGAACAGAGGAACUAUGUAGAUGCUGAGUGCAGACAAAACUGCCAACAGUGUCCUGUUAUUAUGAUAGGAUAGGUCCAUCAUUCUUGCUGUUUGUAAACAUUGCAUUAACAGUGGCGACACUAUCAUAUCAAACAUUUCCCUCUACAUUGGUCUUCAAUUCAUUUCUUCAUUAAUUUAUUUUUUAUAUGGAUGGUGAUUGCUGAACUCCUUGGAGCUUUCUGGAAACUAAUAAAGCACACCUGGGGAUGAAGACGUUCAAUUAUUGGAAUUGUAGCUUCAGGGUUAAAGAUAAGAUAAUUAAUUGUUAUGGCUAAAAGUUGGCGUUGAAGAUAAUGUACUGUUACUUCUACAGUUCUGCUUCUGGGGUAAGAUGUGGUUGAGAUGAACAGAGUCGUAAAAUUGUCCUUGUAAAAAGAACAAAAAAAAAAAA